rnacentral:misc_RNA from 1 species
GAAACUGCAUCGCCCUUAUGACAAUUACUGGGGCGAAAGGGAGUACGGUUAAUUUUCAACAAAUUUCCUCAUAUCUGGGCCAACAAGAGUUGGAAGGAAAACGAGUGCCACGAAUGGUUUCUGGGAAGACUUUACCCUGUUUUCCAGCAUGGGAUUGUGCUUCUAGGGCAGGAGGUUAUGUCAGUGAUCGCUUUCUUUCUGGACUUCGUCCCCAGGAGUACUAUUUUCAUUGCAUGGCUGGUCGU